rnacentral:rRNA from 1 species
CCGCCCGAGUACUACAAGCAUAAGCUUAAAACUCAAAGGACUUGGCGGNGUCUCAGACCCACCUAGAGGAGCCUGUUCUAGAACCGAUAACCCCCGUUAAACCUCACCACCCCUUGUUUUCCCCGCCUAUAUACCGCCGUCGUCAGCUUACCCUGUGAAGGACAAACAGUAAGCANAAUGGAUAAAACCCGAAACGUCAGNCCGAGGUGUAGCGAACGAGGUGGGAAGAAAUGGGCUACAUUUUCUAUCAUAGAAUAUUCACGANCGGCACCCUGAAAUAUAUGCCUGAAGGUGGAUUUAGUAGUAAAAAGAAAAUAGAGUGUCCUUUU